UACGGAGGGUGCAAACGUUGCUCGGAAUUAUUGGGCGUAAAGCGCACGUAGGCGGCCAAUUAAGUCGGGUGUGAAAGCCCAGGGCUCAACCCUGGAAGUGCACUCGAAACUGAUUGGCUUGAAUAUGGAAGAGGGUCGUGGAAUUCCCAGUGUAGAGGUGAAAUUCGUAGAUAUUGGGAAGAACACCGGUGGCGAAGGCGGCGACCUGGUCCGAUACUGACGCUGAGGCGCGAAAGCGUGGGGAGCAAACAGG
rnacentral:rRNA from 1 species